rnacentral:rRNA from 1 species
UACGUAGGGUGCAAGCGUUAUCCGGAAUUAUUGGGCGUAAAAGAGCUCGUAGGCGGUUUGUCGCGUCUGCUGUGAAAACUGGAGGCUCAACCUCCAGCCUGCAGUGGGUACGGGCAAACUAGAGUGCGGUAGGGGAGAUUGGAAUUCCUGGUGUAGCGGUGGAAUGCGCAGAUAUCAGGAGGAACACCGAUGGCGAAGGCAGAUCUCUGGGCCGUAACUGACGCUGAGGAGCGAAAGCAUGGGGAGCGAACAGG